UUUGCAUCACGUUUUGUGUGCUAAAGAAAUUUAAAUCCGGGCUGGUACCAGUGCCGUCUUCAACAGCGAUAUCAUCUGUGCUCUCUUGAUCUUUCGCUUCUUCUUCUCUAAUUAUUUUCACAUUUUCCUUCUCAUAAGAGGAUUGUACCUCUCUCUCAUUAGCUUCAGUGAAUGCCAUAAUUAAAAUGUCGAAGAGGUUGAUGUUUUGAAACGUAAGAAGAAUGCGAAAUUA